CCCUUAGAUGUUCUGGGCGGCCCGCGCACUACAAUGGCGCUUUCAGCGAGUUCCUAUGUUGAAUUUUCCUUGGUAUUCUUGGAAGCGGCGUCUUGACUUGGGAUAGAUCCUUGUAAUUGUUGGUUUUGAACGAGGAAUUCCUUGUAAUCGCGGUUGAUCAGCUCGCGUUGAAUACGUCCCUGCCCUUUGUACACACCGCCCGUCGCUCCUACCGAUUGAAUGCUCAGGUGAGCCAUUCGGACUUUCAUCAUGCUGGUUUCCAGUUUUGAUGAAGGAAAGUCUUGCGAACCUUAUCAUUUAGAGGAAGGAGAAGUCGUAACA
rnacentral:rRNA from 1 species